GGUCGUAAAGAGUAAAUAGGGAACUCGGUGUAAGUCCGAGACUGACGCGCAGCGGUGAUGAAGGAAAAAAGAGAUACAACACUGUUAUUAAUUAAUGGGAAGUUGCCUCUAUAGUUAAUUUUUACCCAGAUGGGUAUGACUUCUCAGUCCGAAGACCUGCCAUAGUUUA
rnacentral:ncRNA from 1 species